rnacentral:tRNA from 1 species
GCCCGGGUGGCGAAACUGGUAGACGCGCCAGACUCAAAAUCUGGUGGUAGCAAUACCGUGCCGGUUCGAUCCCGGCCCCGGGUACCA